GGAUGCGGGUGUAGAACUUCCUGUGUCAAGCCAGUAUACGGACCUGGACCACAAUCAGGUGGCUGUUUUUAUAAUGGUCGGUUUUAUCCCGCCGGGGUAAACUUUCCAGCUACAGAUGGGUGUAAUACAUGUUUCUGCUCAGGCAAUGGACAGGUUAGAUGUACAAAGAUCGGCUGCCCUGACUUGUGCACCCUGCCGAGGGCCCCU